GCUUCUAAAGGAUAAUAGCUUAUCCGCUGGUCUUAGGCCCCAGAAACUCUUGGUGCAAGUCCAAGUAGUAGUA
rnacentral:tRNA from 1 species